rnacentral:rRNA from 1 species
GGAAAGUUGCAAAGUACUUUGAAGAGAGAGUUCAAGAGGACGUGAAACCGAUAGGAUGGAAGCAGAUGAAGUUGACGAACGUGUGUCGUAUUCAAAAUCGCUGUCAGCGGUUUGUUUUUACGGCCGAUGUGGGCCGGCGGCUUUGGUCAAUGCAACGCGUCUAGCGUCGAUGGUGACCCUGCGGAGGGACAAUCAGUCGUCGUACGCUGCUUGGUUUGGCUAAGGUUUCGCCGGUCUUAAAGUCAGCGCCUCAUCUGACCCGUCUUGAAACACGGACCAAGGAGUGUAGCGUUUGCGCAAGUCUUAGAGUGUAUCGAAACUUUGAGGCGUAACGAAAGUAAAAGAGUUUAAUCUGCUGACUUGGGAUGCGUUGUCUCUUGUGGACGGCGCUGGACCAAGGUUUUAUCGCGAUCGCUUGCGGUGCGGUGAAAAUAGAGCGUAAACGGGCGACCCGAAA